UUGAGAGUUUGAUCCUGGCUCAGAACGAACGCUGGCGGCAGGCCUAACACAUGCAAGUCGAGCGCGCCCUUCGGGGUGAGCGGCGGACGGGUUAGUAACGCGUGGGAACGUGCCCUUCUCUAAGGAAUAGCCACUGGAAACGGUGAGUAAUACCUUAUACGCCCUUCGGGGGAAAGAUUUAUCGGAGAAGGAUCGGCCCGCGUUAGAUUAGGUAGUUGGUGGGGUAAUGGCCUACCAAGCCUACGAUCUAUAGCUGGUUUUAGAGGAUGAUCAG
rnacentral:rRNA from 14 species